UUAAAAAAAAAAGGGUAAAUGCAAUAACUAUAUUUGGUUAAUUACUACAUUACACUUUUUCUUUAAUUUUCUAUUUUCUAUUUUCUAUUUUCAUUUAUAUAUAACAUAUAUUAAAAGCAGGUAAGUGUAAUAGACGGGGAAAUUUGUGAAUCUAACGCUUCGUAUAUGACUUCAGUAUCCUCAAAACUCUCUCAAAUUACCUGGGUUCACCCACCGCCCGUGACCAUUGAUGCAAAUCUGAAGCCAUAUGGGCUUGCAAUCUAUCGGCCACGUGGUCUCACGAAAGACAACUAGCAGCAUCGAUGGUGUGCUACGUAAAUGACUCAUCUCAUCAGUUGAAGAAUAAAUACAGAGAACUGCACGUCCACCGCCAUCCAUUCUACUCAAGGCCAUCACGGAUUCAUGACAAUGGUCUUGUUGGGCAUACAAAACUUGUGCAUAGAAGCUAUUUGAGGAUUUGUCAAAGAGACUAAUACUUCAUUGGCUCCAAGGAUUUCCCCUCUUGUUUGUAACAAGAAACCACAAGAAUUCGGCAAGUCAGGUGUUUGAAGAUAUUUCCGUGAGACAACCCACCAAUCCAGUGCUGAUGAAAAAAUUAUUGUAUACGAGUAUGCAAGAAUAGAACAAUCCAUCUUCUUAGUACCCAAAAGGCAGAAAAAGUAAGUGAAGAAAAAUUUAGAAUUGAUAAUAAAUAAGUCCAAUUAAUAGGUCUAAUUGGUAAGUAUUCCCUUUUUCUAUUUUAUUUUUUAUUUUUAUAAAGAGGUGAUGCUUAAUUAGAAUUUAACGCUCUCUCGAACUCAAAUUUUUAUAGCUAAUCAACUCUAUUUGUAGAUUGAUAUUAUGACCCUAAAAUUAUCUAAAAACACUUUAAUAAUAUUAUAUAUUGUGAUGUAUCUUAUUCUCAGUCAAUAAUAGAGCGACUCCCACGCGCGGGCACGUGGGAAUCCAACUAGUAUAUAUAUGUAUUUGUUACACACGAUCCUACUGCCCCACUCGUGCCCUUGGCAUAUUACAACAUGUUUGUGUGUAUAUAUUAAUAAAUAUUAUUAUUAUUACCACACUAUAUUACACCAAUAUGAUUAUAUCCAUAAAAAAAAA